ensembl:snRNA U6 U6 spliceosomal RNA
GUGCUCGCUUCCGCAGCACAUAUACUAAAAUUGGAACGAUAUAGAGAAGAUUAGCGUGGCCCCUGCGCAAGGAUGACACGCAAAUUCGUGAAGCAUUCCAUAUUUAA